rnacentral:rRNA from 1 species
UACGUAGGGUGCAAGCGUUGUCCGGAAUUAUUGGGCGUAAAGAGCUCGUAGGCGGUCUGUCGCGUCGGCUGUGAAAUCCCGGAGCUCAACUCCGGGUCUGCAGUCGAUACGGGCAAACUGGAGUACUGCAGGGGAGACUGGAAUUCCUGGUGUAGCGGUGAAAAUGCGCAGAUAUCGGGAGGAACACCGGUGGCGAAGGC